rnacentral:lncRNA from 1 species
GCCACUGGUGCUCUGCAGACUGGGUGGAAGGCAGUCACCCUAAGUGGAGGUCUCUGCAGUUGGCAGAAAACGAAGACUCUGACGCUGAGACGUGGAAACGACAUAACUCUACUCUCUCAACCCAGAGCUCAUUCUAGUUUCUUUGAACUGAGGCAUUUUGUGGAGGAGAACGUCCUCACUUUUCAGGUGUGCACACAGAGGGGUCUUCAGCCAUCCUCGCCAUCCUCCCCAGCGGCAGCAUCCUCCCCAUCAGGAGCAGCAUCCUCCCCAUCAGCAGCAGCAUCCUCCCCAUCAGCGGCAGCAUCCUCCCCAUCAGCGGCAGCAUCCUCCCCAGCGGCAGCAUCCUCCCCAGCGGCAGCAUCCUCCCCAUCAGGAGCAGCAUCCUCCCCAUCAGCAGCAGCAUCCUCCCCAUCAAGAGCAGCAUCACCAUUGGCAGCAUCCUCCCCAGCAGCAGCAUCACCAGCAGCAGCAAGAAGAUGCCUGCACUGCUGCUGUGCUGUCUGCACUGCUUCCCUAGAAGCCCCAUCACGAAGCCCAAGAAUGUUCUCCUCCUCAUCGUUCUGUGUGUGAAGCAGUAAAUACAGGUGCCUUCCGGGGGAAAAUGAGAGCUGCAGCAUUUUUCUCAAGCUUCCUCCUCGUCCUGCUUGUGGCUGGAGGCUUGUGGAUGCUUCAAAGGAACAGUGACUUGACAGAAUUCCUUUCUCCCGCUCCCCACGUGUGACUUCCCAGGCCUCCAGAGCAGCGCCCGCCGCUGCCUGGUCCCUCAGUACCCCAGUCCCAGAGGGAGGAGCACCCGCUCAAACGGGAGCAUUAAGCAGGUGUGUCGCUGAUGUUUUAACUCCUAAGACUUUGGGUUUGGGACUUGGAUCAACUCACAGAAUAUUGGAAGGUGACACGACUACGAGCUAACACCUGACCUCCCAGCAUCACGGGGAGCUGGCCGUCCGGACACGUCAAAGGUGUUUUGUCCUCAGUGAGGAGAUUUGGGUGAAGGUCAAGGCCAUGUUUUCUAUAAACUACCAUCCUACCAGCUACCUGCCUUCCUGCUGCCUCGCUGGAAAUGUUACCUGGCACACGCAGGAGUCGCCGGUGUUCUGAGCGGCGAAUGUACCCUUUCCCCCGUAGCCGUGGUGCAUGUAGGCGUGUUCGCGUGCCCGUGGGGCUUUGUCACUGUUCACGCAGUUUCAACCUGUGUGUGUCCGUGCACUCAUCUCCCUCCUACUCAGCGGGGUCUCCCUCCCAGAGGAAGGCGGGCGCCCACGGGGGAGGGCUUGCAGGUCGGUGCAGAGCCUGUGCGUGACCCAAGCUGCCCCGCUGGGCUGCCGACCCUUCAUCUUGCUGCGCUGCCUCUGCCCUGGGAAUUUUUCAAACUCUUGGUCCGCUUUCCAACUCAAGGCCGCUAAGAUGGUUUCUCCCAUAUUUUAUUGACUUGAAAUUCAGAAGAUGUCCUGUGAACCAUUUGAAAGUGAAUGAGCUCGUGACUUUUAGUGCAUUCACAGUCUUGUGCAACCAUCGCCAUUCUCUGGCCCCCAGAGGAGCCCCCGGCCCCUGAGCAGUCCCUCCCUUGCCU